rnacentral:rRNA from 1 species
GAACGCUGGCGGCGUGCUAACACAUGUAAGUCGAACGAGAGGACAUGAAAAGCUUGCUUUUUAUGAAAUCUAGUGGCAAACGGGUGAGUAACACGUAAACAACCUGCCUUCAAGAUGGGGACAACAGACGGAAACGACUGCUAAUACCGAAUACGAUCCGAAAGUCGCAUGACAUUCGGAUGAAAGGGUGGCCUAUCGAAGAAGCUAUCGCUUGAAGAGGGGUUUGCGUCCGAUUAGGUAGUUGGUGAGGUAACGGCCCACCAAGCCGACGAUCGGUAGCCGGUCUGAGAGGAUGAACGGCCACACUGGAACUGAGACACGGUCCAGACUCCUACGGGAGGCAGCAGUGGGGAAUCUUCCGCAAUGGACGAAAGUCUGACGGAGCAACGCCGCGUGAGUGAAGACGGCCUUCGGGUUGUAAAGCUCUGUGAUUCGGGACGAAAGGCCAUAUGUGAAUAAUAUAUGGAAAUGACGGUACCGAAAAAGCAAGCCACGGCUAACUACGUGCCAGCAGCCGCGGUAAUACGUAGGUGGCAAGCGUUGUCCGGAAUUAUUGGGCGUAAAGCGCGCGCAGGCGGUCACUUAAGUCCAUCUUAGAAGUGCGGGGCUUAACCCCGUGAUGGGAUGGAAACUGGGAGACUGGAGUAUCGGAGAGGAAAGUGGAAUUCCUAGUGUAGCGGUGAAAUGCGUAGAUAUUAGGAAGAACACCGGUGGCGAAGGCGACUUUCUGGACGAAAACUGACGCUGAGGCGCGAAAGCGUGGGGAGCAAACAGGAUUAGAUACCCUGGUAGUCCACGCCGUAAACGAUGGAUACUAGGUGUAGGAGGUAUCGACCCCUUCUGUGCCGGAGUUAACGCAAUAAGUAUC